ACUCUAAAUUGAAUUUUUGAGUAAUUCAAUUAUACUCAUAUAGUAGUGUGGAUAAAAGUAGCUAACUACAUUCUGUUCUAAGCCUCCUUAUGUCAGCCCAUCUAUCUCUUCAUGUCUUUUGUUUUUCUUCUUGUUCCUUUUUGCUCUUGGGCCAAAUUUCCCACUUAGGCCCAUAUCAGGCGCUGGCCUUCUUCCUCCUCCUCUGUAUGUUCUUCUGAAGCUGGAACAGAACAGGAACAGCCAUGGCCUCCUCCCAUCCCUUUCCUCCUCACAUUUAAUUCCUUGUCCGUUUCACUCCGGUGUCUGCACGAAAAAUGUGGAGAACAAUAUGAAGAAUCCAUUCAGGGAAUAAAAAACUUAACAUUAUUACUUUAAUUCAUCGAACGGAUCCACGAAACGUACAUGCACAAACAACCAUUAAUGGCCACAUUGAGCUCCCUUGAUCUCCCCGUACCGGCUCCCUCGGCCACUAUAAAUUGACCCCAAGGAACCCCUCUCCACCCCGCACCUCCCAGUCCACGAGCCCCUCUCCAAAGCCCUCCAACUCCCGAGCAAUUUCUCGUCGGAGCUGAGCGUCGCCGCCUUCUUCUGUUGAAGCUUGCGACCUCUGCACUGGAGCACUACCUCCGCAAAGAUCGCGACCGACCGGAGCUCCAAGCAACUCCGGCGGCAUCUUCACGACGCUUGAGGACGGGGACGAGCACCUCUCCGUGUCCUUCGUGACUGCCUCACGCCCUCUACGUCGUCCCGCUCUCACCGGACACCAGAACAAGCUCCAUCGCCGGAUCUUCCCCAUGUCCGAGCCACGCCGCCCGUCUCCGGCGACCUAGUCGUUCAACUCCGCUAGAUAUGUCAUAAAGUGAAGGAGUGACGGUAACAAGUAGGAAUCAACUUCAAGACACAG